rnacentral:rRNA from 1 species
GACGAACGCUGGCGGCGUGCUUAACACAUGCAAGUCGAACGGAAAGGCCCUGCUUUUGUGGGGUGCUCGAGUGGCGAACGGGUGAGUAACACGUGAGUAACCUGCCCUUGACUUUGGGAUAACUUCAGGAAACUGGGGCUAAUACCGGAUAGGAGCUCCUGCUGCAUGGUGGGGGUUGGAAAGUUUCGGCGGUUGGGGAUGGACUCGCGGCUUAUCAGCUUGUUGGUGGGGUAGUGGCUUACCAAGGCUUUGACGGGUAGCCGGCCUGAGAGGGUGACCGGCCACAUGGGGACUGAGAUACGGCCCAGACUCCUACGGGAGGCAACAGUGGGGAAUAUUGCACAAUGGGCGGAAGCCUGAUGCAGCAACGCCGCGUGCGGGAUGACGGCCUUCGGGUUGUAAACCGCUUUCGCCUGUGACGAAGCGUGAGUGACGGUAAUGGGUAAAGAAGCACCGGCUAACUACGU